rnacentral:lncRNA from 10 species
CUGAAAUACACCGUUUGCUGAAGAGCAGGGCUGGGCACUGGUUUCUCUGCGUUCUGAAUUUCUAGAAAGGGUAGGGUCUCCGUUGCCAGGCGGCGUCUGCCACCUCUUCCCACCGCGGCCCCUCCAGCCCUCCACCCCUUCCCCUGGGAGACCCCCUGUGAGGACCCUCAGCAAACUUCUGCAAAACCUGACGGGCCCUGGGUGCAGGGUGGUGUGGACGCAGAUCUUUCAGGCCGAGGGGGGGGCGGCGGGAGGGUGGGCGUGGAGGUGCGAGAGGCGCGCAGCCUCCGCCUGCCCAGCUGUCUCUGCGGACCCCGCCGAGGGAGGGAGAGAAGCGCUAGGAAAAGGAAGAGGAGAAGGAGCUCGAGCGGGAGGCAAGCGAGAGGCUCUUUUGCUCCUCCCAAAGCAGGGGGCGGCUCCACUGUGCUUCUGAUGACCCGGCCGCCGCCGCCGCCCUGCAACCGCUCCCCGGGACCCCUCAACGCUGACACUGAUGACCCGCGGCGGGGGCGCUGGGCGCGGGGUGCGCAGGCCACUGGCCGCGGGCUCUCGGGCCCGCUCCUGCCGCCGGCUUCUGCUGCUUCCGCGGUAAUGACACUCGGCGGAGCGGCCGCCAUCUCUUCUGUGCCGUGGACACUGCCAGAAUUUGUCAAAGGUCCUAGGAAGAAAAGGCUCUUUCACCCCUCCCCUCAAUGAACAGAUGGCGUGUUUGGACUGUUCGCAUUCGCUCCUCAUAGGGACAAAUGAAUCUCUUCCCACGCCAUGGGAUUUCCCUUGAUUUUUAUAUUGGGAGUGAAAAGAUGAAGCAUGAGACUCUUCAGCUGCAUCUCGAACUGCAUCUAAUCCCAGCACAUCUCUCUCAAUCUUUGAUUAAGUCUGUUCAUCUAAAAGAGAGACACAGGGGAAAAAUGGAAAUGGGACUUUGGAAGAAUGACCAUCCACAUUCCCAUCACAGCCUGAGAUUUCCUACCUGAUUGAGAUUUUCAGUAGAUGGCCCUAGGUCUAGUUUCCCACUUUGGACCUGCUGCCCUUGGCUCCAAUAGAGGACUUCCAAGUAACUAGGAAGAUUUCACCUCUCUUUUGAAACAUAAUGGACAAAUGUGUUUCUUUAGGAUGAGAGGUGCACCUGGCUAGUCAAUCUUUAUUUUCCUAAAAUAAACAGGAUGAAAACUCAAAACAAAAAGAAAUACCUCAUGGGCAAAAGCUCUCCCAAUACAACUAAUACAGACACUCAACAUGGCUUUGUAGAAACUGACCCCUCUCCCAAGUCUUAUGUUUGUCAGAAUUGCAUGCCUAUUUCAAUCGAAGAAAAGUGAUCUGAUCUCUUCAGAUGAAGGUGGGACUUGGAGAUGCUGCUGCCUAGAGUUAACUUGCCAGAGAAAGGAUAAGCAUUCGGGAAGUGCCAGGAUGGGGUAUCAGCUGAACAAUGGCAGGAUCCCUUCUGCCAGUGGGCUGGCUCAGGGAGUAAACCUCCCCGGAAGGAAUUUUGUUUCUCUCUAGAAUCAAAGUGGGCAAAAUGAUCACCUUAUUCGCCUGGAGUGAACCAGGUUGAAACUGAGAAGGCAGACAUGGGUGAUAAGCCAGAUGAAGUCAUAUGUUAUAACUAAGCUAUGUACCUGUAACUUGCCUGGUAGUUUUUUCAUUCUCUCUAAACAGGUCAUAAUAAGUGUUAGUCUGUGAUCCACUAUGGAGAGAGAUUUCUGGAAAGAAUAGAGGCAGUGGUAGAGGGUCCAAGGUUGUUAUUUAAGGAGAUGAAUGUGGGUCAGGUGCCGUGGCUCACACCUGUAAUCCCAGCAUUUUGGGAGGCAGAGGCAGGAGGAUUGCUUAAGGCCAGAGUUCAAGACCAAACUGGCCAAUAUAGUGAGAUCCCCCCCCCAUCUCUACAAAAGAUAGAAAAACUUAGCCAGGCAUGGUGGCAGGUGCUAUAGUCCCUGCCACCAUGGGACUACAGCUCCUGCAGUCCCAGCUACUCAGGAGUUGAGGCGGAAGGAUUGCUUGAGCCCAGAAGUUCGAGGUUGCAGUGAGCCAUGAUCAUGCCACUGCACUCCUCCGUGGGUGACAGAGCGAGACCUGACUCAAUAAUAAUAAUAUUAAUAAUAAUGAUAAUGCAACACAAACUAUCUUUUACCUCUUGAACAAUGAAUGCAGAUGCCAUGACUACAUCUGUUUGUUGGGGACCAGGGAGGCUGCCAGUGAGGAUUCAGGGUGGAAGUAGUGUGUACCCAAUACCUAUUGUGAGAUGUGGCCUGGGGAGCCCUGAGAUUGCCUGGCCAGGCUCACUCACUACCCAGACACCCUCUUCCUGCAUGGCGAGUCCCUCAGCCCCUCCAAGGCUCAAUUCUCAGACAUCGGAGUAAUCCACAUCCUCCAUCUUGAGUUACUCCUCACAAGGCCUGCAAGUUUUCCUAGGAGGAAGGGAAGACAGGGUUGAACCCACACAAUUCUAGAAUCUAGAAUUUGGAGGAUUUCUAAACCAUUUCUGUAAGUCAGCCCUUGAGAACUUGUAGAUUUUCUCAUCAUUUGCAGCAUGAGAGUCUGGAGUAGACUGUUUGGAUUUGACUCUUGGUUCCUUGGGCAAGUUACUUAACCUCUCAGCUGUGUGUCAGUUUCCUUAUCUAAAAAGUGUGGUUAAUAAUAACUGACCUCUCAGAGGUAUUGUGAGGUUACUGUGAUGAUUAAAUUAGUUGAUUCAUAUAAAAUGUUUAAAAGAGUGCCUGGCAUUAUUAUUAAUAGUAAUAAGUUUAGCAUAAGUCUUGCCUGCCAAUAAGGAGCUGGAUUGAAUGACUACUUUGAUUCUAUUUCUUGGCCUUCUCUUCUCUGGACUAGGUGACCCCAACUUUCUCCUUACUCCUGAAAAAUUUAUCCCAGUCUGCUAAGGAAGAGAAAGCCCAUGUGUGCACAUACACACAUGCACCUACACAAACAUUUACAUACAGUUUUGCUCUUCUAUACAGAGUUAAUAGAGCUACUAGAGUGUCUAGGAACCAAUCUGAAAGAGAAAGGAAACACUGCUUUUUUUUUGUUUGUUUUUUGAGAUGGAGUCUCACUCUGUCACCAGGCUGGAGUGCAGUGGCGCAAUUGUGGCUCACUGCAAACUCCACUUCCCUAGUUCAAAUGAUUCUCCUGCCUCAGCCUCCCGAGUAGCUGGGACUACAGGCGUGCAUCACCACACCCAGCUAAUUUUUGUAUUUUUAGUAGAGAUGGGGUUUCACCAUGUUGGCUAGGAUGGUCUUGAUCUCUUGACCUCGUGAUCUGCCUGCCUCAGCCUCUCAAAGAGCUGGGAUUACAGGCAUGAGUCACCACGCCCGGCCGAAACACUGCUUAUUACAAUUUAUAGGUUUAUGUUCAAAAAGUUGCUAAUCUUAUUGCUGUGAACCCCUGCCAUCUCUAGUCCUGCCCACCUAUAGGUACUGCAGACCAAAUUACAGAUUCAGAUUUGCCCAGUUCCUGUUCCUGUCUUGACCAAUCCUAGUAACUUAUUUGGGGCCCAGCCCCAUCUUCAGUGGAAGGUCUAAAAUUGGCCUUGCUUCCUUAAGCUGGGUACACAGUGGGCCCAGGACUAAGCCUCAUGAAGCUUUUAGAGGCCCACUGAGAUUAACCUUUCUCACCAGUGCUCACCUUGUCUUCCUAGUGACCAUGGCUGCCUUCUGUCUAGUUCUAGAGUUGCACUCUAAUUCUCUUCCAGCGCUGUUGCCCUGAUCUACAUAUCUAUCUCUUUUAGAACUUUCCAGCUUAUGUGUCCAAUGUCAGUCUUUCUUCCAAAUAAAUAGAACUUUAUCUUGAUGAAUAUUUAAUGUUCAACCCACCCCUGGUCCCUGGCUAGAAUCAUCUCUGAAAUGUCUAAAGCUCUGCCACUACCUGCACCAGGAGAAGCAAUGUGUCACCACCAACCUAAUAGCAACCAUCAGCUUUGCUGGAGUUAUCCAUUCACCGAACUGAAUCUAUCAGCUUUCCUGAGUUCACUGGGACACUGAUUUGGACCGGACACCAUCACUUGAGAAACAGCGUUAGCACCAGGGUGAACACCACCAGUACCCGACCUGCCUGUAGUUAGCUUCCUCCUCUUUCCCUAUUGACCCACAGAUUAAGUUGCUGCAUGCCCUGGGGCAACACCUGGGGGUAUGACAACUGAAAACUAAGAAACUAAGUACUAUACAUCCAAUUUGUCUGUGUUCACUGCCCACUUGACGUUUCUACUAGGAUGCUUGCAAGAUGCAUCAAACUCCGUAGUCCAAGAUCAUACUCAUGAUCUUUUGCCCAAAACCAUACCCCGCUUCCAUUCUGAUACUCCUCUAAUCAGUUUUCCACACUGCAACCCAAGUGAUCUUUUCAAAAUGCAAAUCUGUUCAUCACACACAUACACACUUAAAACCCUUCAUUGGCUCCUCUUCGUCCUCAGGAGAAAGGCUCAUAUCCUUAACACAGGCUCCCCGUCCUGCGUGUUUGGCCCUGGAUGCCUUUCCAGCCUUCCCUGGCCUCACUCUCCCUCUCCCCUGAUAUACUGCAGCCACCAGGGUCAUGUUAGCACGUGGGUCACUCUGCAGAGAAUUAGAUAAAGGUGCCCCUUCUGGACAGCCCAGUUGGAAAAAUGAUGCCCUUUCCUCUAAGCUGAUGCAGUGUCUCAUGGGCGAUCUCACUUGGCAAGAAAAGCAGGGCUGGAUUUCAGCUCCUACUCUGCUUCCUCAGCCCAGCUGUGCCCCCCUGGUCCACAGCACAGCCUGUGCUGGCCAAACCAGUUGCCUGCCUUCUUUUGGGUACCCCCAAAUACACCAUGUUCCCUCCUCCCACUGGCUUUUGCUCUUACUAUUUGCUCAACCUGGGAUACUCUUCCUCUCUCUUUCUAUCCAGCAAUCCCCUACUUAACCCUCAGAUCCCACCCAACCCUUACAUCCUCAGGAAAGCCUUCCCGAUCUCUCCUUCUUUCCAACCAGUUUAAGUUCCUUUGUAAUACCCUCUCAUCAGACAGGGCUUCCAUUUCUCCUAAUACUGAUCCAUUUUGGAAGCUUACACUCAUUUGUAGAACGAAUGUCUGACACCCUCAUUGUAUUACAAGCUCCAUUAGUGCAGAGACCAUGUCCUUUUCAUCUCUCUCCAUUGUAGUCCCAGAACUUAACACAGGGUCAGGCACAUAAUAGUUGAUCAUUAAAUAUUCAUUAAGCACCUACUGAGUGCAGGCUGCUCUUUAGUAGAUGGUAGUGUCUGGACUUUAUAAUCAGAACAACUUAAGCUUCCCAGAGGCAUGAUUAAGCACGUCAAAGAGGAAAAUAUUCUGUUCCACUUAAUUAUGCAUUUUUAUUUAAAAAUAGAAGUCUUUAUUAAAACAAC